CUGUGUCUCACCCAAACCAAAGGCGCACGUUUGAAACGGCCACCCAUUAGACGGUCACCAGUGUAUAUCUGAGCAGAGGACAGAAUGAAGUCCCAGAUCUCAUAACCCAGAUGACCAAUCGGGACGAAGCUGGCAGGUCAGCUUGGAGACAGAAAAAACAAACGCACCCUCACAACGGAGGGGUCGAUGUGGGGCUCACAGCGGACCUCAGAACCCCCAGAACCCUCAUAACAGGAGGCCUAGCAGGGGGUACGGCCAGACUCUCAGGAGGUGGAAGGAGUAUCAAUAUCUAGCCUAGUCUAGUGGAAGAAGAAGACAAAGACGAUCCAGGUCUGAGGACGUCUGAGGAGGUCUGGCAGAGGAAGAGGAGAAGAUCCCGCUCUGAGGAGGUCUUGAAGACGAGGAGGAGGAGGAGG
ensembl:lncRNA